UGUCGUAAUUUAUUUAUUGUGUCGUAGUGUUUUGCCGAAAGAAAAACAAAUCGCGUCGAGAUUGAUUAUAAUAUUAUUGACACCGGUGUCCGCGUGUGUCAGCCACUGAAGUCGUGUAUCGUCCUUCCCCCCUCCCCAAUGUAAUAUAAACCCAAUGUGAACGAACCAAGAUUCAAGUGUGACUGCAUGUGAGCCACCGCGUAAAAGCGUUCUCAAGUAGAUUAACAC